rnacentral:rRNA from 1 species
UACGAAGGGGGCUAGCGUUGCUCGGAAUCACUGGGCGUAAAGCGCACGUAGGCGGACUCUUAAGUCGGUGGUGAAAUCCUGGAGCUCAACUCUAGAACUGCCUUCGAUACUGAGAGUCUCGAGUCCGAGAGAGGUGAGUGGAACUGCGAGUGUAGAGGUGAAAUUCGUAGAUAUUCGCAAGAACACCAGUGGCGAAGGCGGCUCACUGGCUCGGUACUGACGCUGAGGUGCGAAAGCGUGGGGAGCAAACAGG